CCUUGAGCUUGUGCUGUCCUCUUCAUCACGCAGCAGUCCAGCCUUUCGAAACCCGCUGGUGGUGGUAGAUUUUAUGACACUGCUCCACGCUGUUAGGAUCCACUGGCAGACUGGAGCAAAAGUUGCUCUUCGCAUGCUAUUUCCUUCUUCGACAGCCAGAUCGAUCGCCUUUAACUUGAAAGCUGCAUCAUAUGCAUUUCUUCGUGUGUUUUCCGUGAUGAGGGGGUGUGCAUGAAGCGCAAAAUGACUGAUCUGAAGAAUUUAGUUGUGCACACCCUCUGCUUUUCAUCAACCUGCUGCUGCUAAAAUCCCAUUUUGAGGUGGAGAAGAGGCAGACUGAACAGGUGUGGAGAGGGGGAGGACAGAGAAUAGAUGUUUCCGGCACCUCAAACAUUAAACUCCAACAUCCAUGACACAGAAGGACUCUGUUUUCACUCUGUCAUUCCUCAUUUCUGCACUACCUCUGAACCAUAUUUAAGGGACCUUCUCUUUCUGCCUGUAGGCCAGCACAAUUUUACAUCGGCCUGAUGUUCAGUAGUAGACGUCCACUUUUUUUUUUAGCUAAGCUGAUUUAAAUUAUUUUUUGACCUUAAGUGUAAAUUACAUUUUGUGAAUUGGAUAGUUCCCAGCUGGUAGGAAUAAGACAGCAGAAGGAGAGUAAACCUUCCUGAGACAAGACUACAGGUAUUGAACAAUAUAGAAAAUAUAGACUGUAGACUAUAGAAUUCACUAUGUGAAGUUGAUUUUGUUCUUGGUGAAGGCUGCAAAACUACUUGUGAAAAUUGUACAUUCAACUCACUGUGAAUGCUUCUGUCAGCUUUUCACUUCUCUGUGUUUAUUUUGAAUGAACAGCUCUCAAAGCUUUGUUUUUUUAUUAUCUCCUUUAAAAUGUUAAAUAAAAUGGUUAUUAAAUGUACAAAUUUCUCUUUUGAAAAUGCAUUGUGAAUAAAGGUACUAUUAUAGAUGGUGCUACCAGAGUACCAGAUCCUGUAACAAAUGGCAAAUAUUGGAAUUAGAUUUAGGAAAGAUGUAUUUUCAGAACUGUGUAUGAUUACAUAUAAAGAGAUUGACUGUUUCUUCUGUUAUGAUUGAUUUGAUUAUAUUUAUAGUUUAUACUUUGUUAUAUUUAUUAUAUUUACAGUGGAAGUGGUAAAAAUAUAUAUCAGGUGGGUGUCGGUAUCAGCUGAUGCGCAAAGUUUCAGCCUUGG
ensembl:lncRNA